GGGAGAUAGAGCAAGACUCCAUCUAAAAAAAAAAAAAAAAUUAAAACAAUACAUUAGCAAAAGGAGGAAAACCAUAUGGGCACGUCAUUCGAUGUAGAAAAACAUUUGCCAACACUUCUACCUCUAUUCACAGCAAAAACUCUGCACAAACCAGGAAUGGAAGGAAACAUCUUCAGCCUUAUGAGACGCAUCCGGGAAACAGUGCAGCUCCCAUCAUACUCAUCAGUGAAAGAGUGAGUGCUUCCCCUCGGCAUAUUCUAUACAGCACUGGAUGGGAGUCUGCCCAGGCAGGAGGCGGCUGUCAGAGAAAAUCAGAACUGCCUUGAUGGGCAGACGACAGGGCCAUCGAUGUCAUAAAGGUUGUAAGGCCUCUACAAAACAGUACUAGAGCUAAAGAGUAAGAGAGUUCAGAGAGGUCACAGGACUCAAGCUCAUUCUUGUUCUCGGCACGGGCCAGCUCCCCGGGAAUGUCCUAAUUUCAGGCAUCUCUCCUCCCUGGUGGCAGCGCCGCCCCAUUCCCCAGCCCUUAUGUUCUCAUUCCAGGAUGAUCUUGUCCUCCACGCUCCUCGCUCCAACCUACAAGGUGGGCCGUGCAUCCCUGUGGGUCGAGAAGAACCCAGCUGUUCUCUCUUCAAAACAGACAUCUCAUUCUAGAUACUUUUUUUUCCCCCAAAUUGGAGGUUUGUGGCAAUCCUGCAUCAAGCACGUCCAUCGGUGCCAUUUUCUAACAGCAGGGGCUCUCCACCU
rnacentral:lncRNA from 10 species